AGCGGGUCGGAACCACGUUCCUUUUUAAUUUUUAAAAAUUUGUUUUGUUUUAGAAAAAGAGAGGACAUGAACAAGUGAUGGAGAAGACUCUCAGGAAAGGAACUGCAGCGUUGGCUGGUGCCGAGAAGGGACUGCUAAUGUUCGGAAUAUUAAUGACUCAAUGCGCUACUGACCCGGCGAGAACUGGCAGAAGGGACUGGGGAUGAUGACCAGCUGCCUGCCGGAUGGAUAAUCUAUUUUAAUAUCUGAGAGGGCAAAUGGAUUAAGGAAGAGUACAUUUUUUAUCCUCAUUAAAAACCUUGA
rnacentral:lncRNA from 1 species